GGGUCGGUGUCCGAGUGGUUAAAGGAGGCGGAUUGUAAAUCCGUUGCGAUAUGCUACGUUGGUUCGAAUCCAACCCGGCCCAC